rnacentral:rRNA from 1 species
AGGAAAAGAAACUAACAAGGAUUCCCUCAGUAAGGGCGACUGAACGGGGAAGAGCUCAGCAUGUGAAUCUGCGCUUCGGCGCCGAAUUGUGGUCUGUUGACUCUGGCAUUAUUGGCCGGGCUAAGUCCCUUGGAACAGGGCAGAUAGAGGGUGAGACUCCCGUCUGCCUGGCCUUUGGAGCUGAUGUCUACGAGUCGAGUUGUUUGGGAUUGCAGCUCAAAGUGGGUGGUAAUUCCAUCUAAAGCUAAAUAUUGGUGGGAGACCGAUAGCGUACAAGUACCGUGAGGGAAGAUGCAAAGAACUUUGAAAAGAGAGUUAAAGAGUACCUGAAAUUGCUGAAAGGGAAGCGAAGGAACCAGUGCUUGCCGAGGCAUACUUCUCCCUCCGCUUGCGGGUGGGCGCUGUGUCUUGGCCUGGGUCAGGCUUGGUUCGGCUGGUCGGAAGGGCGCGGUGGGAGUUGCCCACUGCCUGCCUGCGACUGGCAGGACCGAGGUUGACAAAAUGGUUUUCUUUACCCCG